rnacentral:rRNA from 1 species
UACGAGGGGGCGAGCGUUGUUCGGAAUUAUUGGGCGUAAAGGGCGCGUAGGCGGUGCGGUAAGUCACCUGUGAAACCUCUGGGCUUAACUGAGGAACUGCACGGGAGACUGCCGGGCUUGAGUUCGGGAGAGGGAAGCGGAAUUCCGGGUGUAGCGGUGAAAUGCGUAGAUAUCCGGAGGAACACCGGUGGCGAAGGCGGCUUCCUGGACCGACACUGACGCUGAGGCGCGAAAGCUAGGGGAGCAAACGGG